rnacentral:lncRNA from 1 species
GGUUCUACAAACAUAAAGCAAAAUGAAUCAAACUAAAUAUUACCCUAAAAGUAAUUUAAUAAUUUAUAAUAUUUUAGUUCACCAAGGGGUACAAAUGGUGACAUAGAAAAUUAAAGGGAAUAGUUAAUUCCUACUUAUUCAUUAAAAAAUACACUAUUUCCGAAGAAUUUUCGCUCAGUUUGCUUCCUUUUCAUUUUUUGAAUUUUAAGGAACUAUAGAAGAAAACAUUCCUUAUCAAAAUUGAUAUGAAACAAAAGAAGGGGAAAUUCUAUGUUUACCACUUUCAUGAUAUCACUUUUCAUCUUUACCAUCACUAAAGGGACAUUUUCAAAAACACCUUAUUCAUUAAGUGGCAAAAGACUCUUAUGUCCUUGUUCUUUAUGUAUAUAAUAAAUAAAUAUUUAAAUAAAUAAAAAAUCUAAAAAAAUAAAAAAUAAUUUUAAACCCUAAACCAUCAAACCCUAUUUCGAAAUUCAAACCCUAAACCCUAAAACUCAACUCUAAACCCUAAACCAUCAAUCCUAAACCCUAUUUUUUUUUUUGAAAUACGAACCCUAAACCCUAAACCAUCAAUCUUAAACCCUAUAUUUUUUUUAAUACGAACCCUAAACCCUGAAACAUCAACUCUAAACCC